UACGGAGGGUGCAAGCGUUAUCCGGAUUCACUGGGUUUAAAGGGUGUGUAGGCGGGCUAUUAAGUCAGUGGUGAAAUCUCCGGGCUCAACCCGGAAACUGCCAUUGAUACUAUUAGUCUUGAAUAUCGUUGAGGUAGGCGGAAUAUAUCAUGUAGCGGUGAAAUGCUUAGAUAUGAUAUAGAACACCGAUUGCGAAGGCAGCUUGCUAAACGAUGAUUGACGCUGAGGCACGAAAGCGUGGGGAUCAAACAGG
rnacentral:rRNA from 1 species